UGGGGAAUAUUGGACAAUGGGCGAAAGCCUGAUCCAGCCAUGCCGCGUGUGUGAAGAAUGUCUUCGGAUUGUAAAGCACUUUAAGUGGGGAGGAAGGGCAGUAAGCGAAUACCUUGCUGUUUUGACGUUACCGACAGAAUAAGCACCGGCUAACUCUGUGCCAGCAGCCGCGGUAAUAGAGCGGGUGCAAGCGUUAAUCGGAAUUACUGGGCGUAAAGCGCGCGUCGGUGGUUCGUUAAGUUGAAUGUGAAAGCCCCGCGCUCGACUUAGGAACUGCAUCCAAAGCUGGCGAGGUGGAGUAGAGCAGGGGGGGGUGGAAUUUCCUGUGUAGCGGUGAGAUGCGAUGAUAUAGGAAGGAAAACCAGUGGCGAAGGCGACGACCUAGGCUCAUACUGACACUGAGGUGCGAAAGCGUGGGGAGCAAACAGG
rnacentral:rRNA from 1 species